rnacentral:rRNA from 1 species
GCAAGUCGAACGAACAAGGCUGGAGCUUGCUUCAGCUGCGUUAGUGGCAAACGGGUGAGUAACACGUGGGAAUCUACCCAUCAGUACGGAAUAACAUUUGGAAACAGAUGCUAAUACCGUAUAUUCUCUAAGGAGGAAAGAUUUAUCGCUGAUGGAUGAGCCCGCGCAAGAUUAGAUAGUUGGUGGGGUAAUGGCCUACCAAGUCUACGAUCUUUAGCUGGUCUGAGAGGAUGAUC